rnacentral:rRNA from 1 species
AGCGAACGCUGGCGGUAGGCCUAACACAUGCAAGUCGAACGGCAGCACAGUAAGAGCUUGCACUUACGGGUGGCGAGUGGCGGACGGGUGAGGAAUACAUCGGAAUCUACUUUUUCGUGGGGGAUAACGUAGGGAAACUUACGCUAAUACCGCAUACGACCUACGGGUGAAAGCAGGGGAUCUUCGGACCUUGCGCGAUUGAAUGAGCCGAUGUCGGAUUAGCUAGUUGGCGGGGUAAAGGCCCACCAAGGCGACGAUCCGUAGCUGGUCUGAGAGGAUGAUCAGCCACACUGGAACUGAGACACGGUCCAGACUCCUACGGGAGGCAGCAGUGGGGAAUAUUGGACAAUGGGCGCAAGCCUGAUCCAGCCAUACCGCGUGGGUGAAGAAGGCCUUCGGGUUGUAAAGCCCUUUUGUUGGGAAAGAAAAGCAGCAGGUUAAUACCCCGCUGUUCUGACGGUACCCAAAGAAUAAGCACCGGCUAACUUCGUG